rnacentral:rRNA from 1 species
UAUACGACUCUUAACGGUGGAUAUCUCGGUUCUCGUAACGAUGAAGAACGCAGUUAACUGCGAUACGUAAUGCGAAUUGCAAGUCU